AAUUGUUACAAAAUUUCGAAAACAUUUGGAGCAAAAAUUUUGUGUGUGGGUGGCGUGCGAGCGGAUAAGGCAAUGCCGUGGGUAAUAACGCGCACAAAAAUUGAAACGCAAAGCUUUGGGAAAAGUUUCGCCGCUUGUCCUGCUGGCAGCAUGAAGAGUUUAUCGGCGUUUGAAGCGAAACCGCGAAAACAUAGUUGAAAAUUUCGUUUUAGCAGAAAAGCUGCAGCGUCCGUUCCUUCAGCACCUUCAUAAAAGUUAUUUUUCUCUUUGGAUCCGAAAAAACCCAAGUAUAUUCCCAAAUGCUCGGAGAGAAUGACGUGUAAGGAGAAUUAUGGAUGCCUUUUGGAAUUUCGACUGUCACACGUUCAGCCAGAUCUGCAGAUAAAGCCUAACGGUGUUUUGUAAUUAAAAAUUCAUAAUCAAGGGAAGAGAAUACAAUCAGCGCUCACAUACACAACUAUACCACUAACAUUCUCUUAUCAAUGCACUCACCGCUAUGGGCAACAAACGCAUCUAUUCAUCAACCAGCUAACAGACCAAAAAGCCAAUAAGCCACAGGCAAUGUCAUUGUCUACGCCAUGGACGUGAUCAGCGCCCAUAGAAACAGUGGAGCACCGCAACGGCUAAUGACUUUAUCACCCAUUACCAUAGUUACGUUCAAUUAAGUUUAAUAAGCGAUAAUGCUACCAAAGCAGCGGCUGCAUUUGAGUGAUAGUCGGAUGCACGAGCUGGUGCAAGGAUGUUAUAAGCAGAGCUUUGCAGAUACGUUAUGAGCAUUAGAUAUAGCUGUGGUGCACACUGCUAUUGCAAUUGUUUGUGUGUUAAUUAUUGUCGCGCGCACGAGCGACAACAACACCAGUUGGCGUAUACCAAAGUCAGUCGCUGAACAGUUAAAGCUUACCUAAACACUGGUUGACUGAUGCAUUUAAGUGGUCGAGGAUAACUGGUGGAUUGCACGCGCUAAGCUGCUGGAGUAAGCAUUUAAUGCGGAUUGCAAUUAUUGUAAUUAUUUAAUUUACUAAAUAUAUGGGAUAUUAAUGAGCGGGUGUGAGUAGUAGAGGGAUAAAAAGAAGAAAUAACGUUCACUUCGGCUGCAUUUCUUGCAGCAUAAAAGGGUACAAAAAGAAAGAGAAAAAGAGAGAAAGUCAACUACAGAAUUUAGAUAUUUCACCCUCCAGUAGUAACAAGUUAUCUUAAAACACAAACAACAAAAAACAAUGAUUUGCCAGGAUAUAUGUUUUUAACCACUCUAAAAUAUAAAUCAACUUUGUUCUGGGAAGCUGCCUUUAUGUCAAAAAUCAAAAUUCUGAUUAGUCCUUCGAUCAUUGUCUAUAUUCAUUAUAGUAUUAAUAAAAUUUUUGGCCUUGAGAUAAUUUUAAAGAAAUAUGUUUCUAACCGCCAGGCACCCUACUUCAGAUCGGCUACAGAAUCUAAAAUUUAUCUGAAAAAUUAAUCACUGAUAUGAAUUUUAUAUUCCGCAA